UACGAAGGGUGCAAGCGUUACUCGGAAUUACUGGGCGUAAAGCGUGCGUAGGUGGUUUGUUAAGUCCGAUGUGAAAGCCCUGGGCUCAACCUGGGAAUGGCAUUGGAUACUGGCAGGCUAGAGUGCGGUAGAGGGCAGUGGAAUUCCCGGUGUAGCAGUGAAAUGCGUAGAGAUCGGGAGGAACAUCUGUGGCGAAGGCGACUGCCUGGACCAGAACUGACACUGAGGCACGAAAGCGUGGGGAGCAAACAGG
rnacentral:rRNA from 1 species